UACGGAGGGUGCAAGCGUUAUCCGGAUUCACUGGGUUUAAAGGGUGCGUAGGCGGCUUAUUAAGUCAGUGGUGAAAUACUUCAGCUCAACUGGAAUUGUGCCAUUGAUACUGAUGGGCUUGAGUACAGAUGAGGUAGGCGGAAUUGACGGUGUAGCGGUGAAAUGCUUAGAUAUCGGCAAGAACACCUAUAGCGAAGGCAGCUUACUAGGCUGUAACUGACGCUGAGGCACGAAAGUGUGGGGAUCAAACAGG
rnacentral:rRNA from 1 species